AAGGUGGGUAUGUAAUAGCAUACUCAUUUGACGUUAGCUGCAGAAGAAGCACCGGCUAACUCCGUGCCAGCAGCCGCGGUAAUACGGAGGGUGCGAGCGUUAAUCGGAAUUACUGGGCGGUAAAGACGCAUGCAGGUGGUUUGUUAAGUCAGAUGUGAAAGACCCGGGCGUCAACCUCGGAAUUGCAUUUGAAACUGGCAAACUAGAGUACUGUAGAGGGGGUAGAAUUUCAGGUGUAGCGGUGAAAUGCGUAGAGAUCUGAAGGAAUACCGGUGGCGAAGGCGGCCCCCUGGACAGAUACUGACACUCAGAUGCGAAAGCGUGGGGAGCAAACAGGAUUAGAUACCCUGGUAG
rnacentral:rRNA from 1 species